GCCUUCGUGGUGUAAUGGUCAACGCACUCGGCGCGUAUUCGAGAGGUCCGAGGUUCGAGUCCCGGCCGAAGGCA
rnacentral:tRNA from 1 species